UCAAUCUCGUGCGGCUAGAAGCCGCCUGUCCCUCUAAGAAGAUUGCUACGCGGGGAGCGUAAAGAUCCCCGCGCCUAUUUAGCAGGUUAGAGUCUCGUUCGUUAU
rnacentral:rRNA from 1 species